AGAAGUCGUAACAAGGUUUUCGUAGGUGAACCUACUGAAGGAUCAUUGCCGAAGCCUGCCAAGCAGAACGACCCGUGAACUAGUAUAGCAAACCACGGGGGGUGCUUGUGGCGGGCUUGACUGCCCCCGCUCUCUGCCCCCUCGCCGGGUGUGCUAUUGAACUGCGCUACUCGGCAAAAAAUAAAUCCCUGACGCGAAUCCCGUCAAGGAACUCAAACAAGAGAAGAGAAAUGCGCCCCCCAGUUCUCGUUCGCGAGCGAAACUUUGGGGGGCACCGGUUGCACCUUUCAGGAACAUAACAACUCUCGGCGACGGAUAUCUCGGCUCUCGUAUCGAUAAAGAAUGUAGCGAAAUGUGAGUCUUUGAACGCAAGUUACGCCCAAAGCCAUUAGGCCGAGGGCACAUCUGCCUGGGCAUCUCACAUCGCGCCACCCCCUGCCCUGCGUCCGUAAAGGGUUCUUGGGUUGAUGGGGGGUGAAUUUUGGCCCCCCGUGUGCCCUAGUGCGCGAUCGGCCUAAAGAUGAGUCCCUGGCGACGAACGUCACGAUGAGUGGUGGAUGUGAUAACGUUGCGUCAUGUCGUGCACGUCUCGUCCCAACGGGUUAUUUUUACUCUUGACCACGAAGCACCGUGUUCCAACGGAGCCUCAAACGCGACCCCAGGUCAGGCGGGAUUACUCGCUGAGUUUAAGCAUAUCAAUAAGCAGAGGAAAAGAAACUUACAAGGAUUCUCUUUGUAAUGGCAAGCGAACCGGGAAU
rnacentral:rRNA from 1 species